GACGAACGCUGGCGGCGUGCCUAAUACAUGCAAGUAGAACGCUGAAGGAGGAGCUUGCUUCUCCGGAUGAGUUGCGAACGGGUGAGUAACGCGUAGGUAACCUGCCUGGUAGCGGGGGAUAACUAUUGGAAACGAUAGCUAAUACCGCAUAACAGUAGAUGUUGCAUGACAUUUGCUUAAAAGGUGCAAUUGCAUCACUACCAGAUGGACCUGCGUUGUAUUAGCUAGUUGGUGAGGUAACGGCUCACCAAGGCGACGAUACAUAGCCGACCUGAGAGGGUGAUCGGCCACACUGGGACUGAGACACGGCCCAGACUCCUACGGGAGGCAGCAGUAGGGAAUCUUCGGCAAUGGACGGAAGUCUGACCGAGCAACGCCGCGGGAGUGAAGAAGGUUUUCGGAUCGUAAAGCUCUGUUGUAAGAGAAGAACGAGUGUGAGAGUGGAAAGUUCACACUGUGACGGUAGCUUACCAGAAAGGGACGGCUAACUACGUG
rnacentral:rRNA from 1 species